rnacentral:tRNA from 1 species
GCUUUUCUGGUGAAAUUGGUAGACACGCUAGUUUUAGGAACUAGUGCUUUAGCGUUGAGGGUUCAAGUCCCUCGAAAAGCA